CCAGACUCCUACGGGAGGCAGCAGUGGGGAAUAUUGGGCAAUGGGCGCAAGCCUGACCCAGCAACGCCGCGUGAAGGAAGAAGGCUUUCGGGUUGUAAACUUCUUUUGUCAGGGACGAAGCAAGUGACGGUACCUGACGAAUAAGCCACGGCUAACUACGUGCCAGCAGCCGCGGUAAUACGUAGGUGGCAAGCGUUAUCCGGAUUUAUUGGGUGUAAAGGGCGUGUAGGCGGGAAUGCAAGUCAGAUGUGAAAACUAUGGGCUCAACCCAUAGCCUGCAUUUGAAACUGUAUUUCUUGAGUGCUGGAGAGGCAAUCGGAAUUCCGUGUGUAGCGGUGAAAUGCGCAGAUAUCAGGAGGAACACCGGUGGCGAAGGCGGCCUGCUGGACGGUAACUGACGCUGAGGCUCGAAAGCGUGGGGAGCGAACAGGAUUAGAUACCCUGGUAC
rnacentral:rRNA from 1 species